CUAAGGUUACAGAUGCACUGUUCUGAAUUCAGGCUGUCUAAGGUUACAGAUGCACUGUUCUGAAUUCCGGCUGCCUAAGGUUACAGAUGCACUGUUCUGAAUUCCGGCUGCCUAAGGUUACAGAUGCACGUGUACUGAAUUCAGGCUGCCUAAGGUUACAGAUGCACGUGUACUGAAUUCAGGCUGCCUAAGGUUACAGAUGCACUGUUCUGAAUUCAGGCUGUCUAA